rnacentral:rRNA from 1 species
CCUACGGGAGGCAGCAGUGGGGAAUUUUGGACAAUGGGCGCAAGCCUGAUCCAGCAAUGCCGCGUGCAGGAUGAAGGCCUUCGGGUUGUAAACUGCUUUUGUACGGAACGAAACGGUGAGCUCUAAUACAGUUUGCUAAUGACGGUACCGUAAGAAUAAGCACCGGCUAACUACGUGCCAGCAGCCGCGGUAAUACGUAGGGUGCGAGCGUUAAUCGGAAUUACUGGGCGUAAAGCGUGCGCAGGCGGUGAUGUAAGACAGAUGUGAAAUGCCCGGGCUCAACCUGGGACCUGCAUUUGUGACUGCAUCGCUAGAGUACGGUAGAGGGGGAUGGAAUUCCGCGUGUAGCAGUGAAAUGCGUAGAUAUGCGGAGGAACACCGAUGGCGAAGGCAAUCCCCUGGACCUGUACUGACGCUCAUGCACGAAAGCGUGGGGAGCAAACAGGAUUAGAUACCCUGGUAGUCCACGCCCUAAACGAUGUCAACUGGUUGUUGGGUCUUCACUGACUCAGUAACGAAGCUAACGCGUGAAGUUGACCGCCUGGGGAGUACGGCCGCGAAGGUUGAAACUCAAAGGAUGACGG